CGGAGGGGAAGAGCCCGCAGCCCCUCUCCCGCGGCCGCCCGGGAGCUGGGGCAGGUGGGGCAGGUGAAGCCUCCGGCUGGGAGGCUGCUGGCGUGAAGUAAGGAGAGAGAGAGAGAGAAAGGGCGGGGGUGUGAGGCAGAAACCCAAGACGCGUUCUGGUAAUGUCCUUUUCCUGCCUCCCCUUCUUCGCUCGGGCGCUGCAGGAGAGGUCAGGGCCCUGCUGGUGCUGGGGUGGGCCCGCAGCCAGGCCCCCCCCCGUGCGGGAGAAGCCCCCAACCCCUGCAGAACCCUGAGGAGCUUGGCAGUGUCAUGUUCCCCGCGUUCCGCCGGGAAGAUUCCAGAGCUCCAUCACGCCAUUCCCAGUGCACCGUGCAAUGCCCUGAGAUCCUCUCCGUUGUUUUGUUUUGUUGUGUUUUUUUUUCCUCCACAAGAAGCUACAAAGUUUCACGACUAGUAACAUUUUUGAAACCCUGGGGGGGUCUGGAAUCCACGGGACAGGGGUUUGUUGCCUUUUCGACAGAGCUAAAGAGAAGGUUUGUAGAUUCUCUAGCUCGACGCUCAGAAGCACAGAAAUGUUCCCAAGUGCUAGCUGCUCUGAAAUGAUUUCACAG